ensembl:lncRNA
UGUGUGUGUGUGUGUGUGUGUGUGUGUGUGUGUGUGUGUGUGUGUGUGUGUGUGUGUGUGUGUGUGUGUGUGUGUGUGUGUCGGCACAGAUAAAAAGAAAAUGUGAUGAAGGUGGGCAAGGACCACCACCGCCUCACAGCAAGCUGCUCAUUCCCCAGCCUGAUUGCCCGAGCCGUAUCCAGCGUGGAUGUGGUUGUGCGGCAGGCUAACGGCGCGUAAGCAGGGGGGCUCCAUGGCUCUGUGGCAGUGAGAAGAGGAGGAAAGAAGGAGGAAAAAAAGGAGGAGGGGCUGUGGUGAGCUGGUGGGCUUCCUCUGCCUCACAGACACAUUUUAUUGACUUGCUAAUUGGAUGAGGCACUCGGAGGAGAGGAUGCAGUGACCGAGAGGAGCUGCUCUCCAGAGGAGGCAUACAUGCAGAAGAAAGCAUUGCUUGGGUUGUGGAAAUCGGGCUACUUUAUCCCUCUUUCUUUUUUUCUUUUUUCUUUUUCUUUUUUUUUUGCUUUUCUCGAGACAUAACAACAGAUGUUUUUUCAGCAUCUCUCAGUGACCCUCGCACUGUGCAUACAUAAUUUUAUGCAUGACAUUGUCGAUCGGAGGCUCCAGCUGCCAGACGCUUCGUGACAAGUGAAUGAUUUCCAUUUUGUUGUUCCCCUUUCACCUGUUUUCAUCUUCAGUUGGAGCUCUUUUCUGUCAGCCUUGUUUGAUGUGCCAUUUGAUAUGAAUGGUAAUCCGGCGGCAGGAUGAUUUCUUCGUCAGAUCAAAUGUGCACGAAGCCGUGAAUGGAUACUCUUCAGUGGGGAGAGAAAAAAAAGAAGUCUCAUCCUGGUUGCCAUGACCGAGGUGUGCAGGUCUUUUGAGGUCAGAGAGCAGGUGUCAUUGCACUGAGGUCUGCUGUCCCAAUGAGCAAAGCGGCCAACCCACAGAGACGCACCACCUACCUCAUAUCCCUCACUCUGGUGAAGGUUGAGGCUUUGCCAGAGGAUGUAGCAGGAAGCCAGACGGAGGCUCUUCCAGAGGGGGAAGGGAGCCCUAAGAAGGAGGAAG